AAGCAAGUUACGGCCAUUUUGUA
rnacentral:piRNA from 1 species